GAUGAACGCUGGCGGCGUGCCUAAUACAUGCAAGUCGAGCGAACAGACGAGGAGCUUGCUCCUCUGACGUUAGCGGCGGACGGGUGAGUAACACGUGGAUAACCUACCUACAAGACUGGGAUAACUCCGGGAAACCGGAGCUAAUACCGGAUAACAUGUUGAACCGCAUGGUUCAACAGUGAAAGACGGUUUUGCUGUCACUUAUAGAUGGAUCCGCGCCGCAUUAGCUAGUUGGUAAGGUAACGGCUUACCAAGGCAACGAUGCGUAGCCGACCUGAGAGGGUGAUCGGCCACACUGGAAGGAGGAAAAGGUCCAGACCACUACGGGACGGUACAGUAAGAAACCGUCCGCAAUGGGCGAAAACCUGACGGAGCAACGCCGCGUGAGUGAAGAAGGUCUUCGGAUCGUAAAACUCUGUUAUUAGGGAAGAACAAAUGUGUAAGUGACUAUGCACGUCUUGACGGUACCUAAUCAGAAAGCCACGGCUAACUACGUG
rnacentral:rRNA from 1 species